AAGUGCUAUUGCUUAGUGGCGGACGGGUGAGUAACACGUGAGCAACCUACCUUUUGCAGGGGAAUAACUCUGGGAAACCAGAGCUAAUACCGCAUGUCGUGCACAUGGGGCAUCCCAGGUGCAUGAAAGGAGCAAUCCGGCAGAAGAUGGGCUCGCGUCCGAUUAGGUAGUUGGAGAGGUAAUGGCUCCCCAAGCCGACGAUCGGUAGCCGGACUGAGAGGUCGAUCGGCCACAUUGGGACUGAGACACGGCCCAGACUCC
rnacentral:rRNA from 1 species